CUAAAUGUGAUUAUCCUACAGCUUAUAAAAUGCAUGUUUGUGUAUAAAUAUGUUGCAAUGCUGUCUGUACAUAAAUCUGACAUCUGCAUUUUUCCUGCUUUGUGGAAAUCAGGGUUUGAUCUUGUGGUUUUCUUGCAUUCACAUUAGGAUUUUUGAAUUUAGUGAUUCCAUCUUACGGGACAGUGUUCUUUCUCAGCCUCGUUGGAAUCGUCAUCAUCCUGCUGACAUUUCCUUCACAACAAAGUAUACCAGUCGUCUUUGGAAUGAUCGCACUGAACGCUCUUUUCUACAUCAAAAUGGGGUGGAUGGCAAUAUGUAUUACAAUAUACUUUGUCUGUUGGUCUUUGGUAUGUAACCAAUACGCAGCUGAGAACACAAGAGAGAAAACCCACCUUGCUGCAGGCGCUUUCCAGCGGCGCUGGAGCAGCAAUCUCCUACUCGAAAAGCCAGGAGUCGCUGCGUCCCAGAAGUCGCUCCCGUUCCAGAAGUCGCUUUUAGUCUACUGGAAAACCCUAUACGGCCCAUGUUUCCUAUGAACUUUUAUGACUUAAAUAUCAUUUUUGUUUUAAUGUCAGUAAUUAACUAGGAAUGUUUCAUGUUAAUAUCUAUUAGUUAAUGUGUGCCUAUUCACUGCUGUGUCUACCCCUUAAUGAGUUUAUGCUAAUCGCUCUAGAAAGUAAGUGUGUGUGUGUGUGUGUGUGUGUGUGUGUGUGUGUGUGUCUCCUUUCAUCCGGGGAGGGUGGGGAGAGAGAGAGUCUCAUUUUUGCUGACCGCUGUUUUCACGCUUUUCUAAUGCUGUUUAAUGCCGUUUUUUUUUUUUUUUCAUGCCUUCUGGACACCACUUCGUAUGGCAGUAAUACAAUUAUGGGAUGUAUUGGAUGCGGAACCUUGUUUGUGUUAAUGCAAAUAAAUCUACAAAACUCA